rnacentral:rRNA from 1 species
GUAGGGUGCAAGCGUUAUCCGGAAUCAUUGGGCGUAAAGCGUUCGUAGGCGGUUUAGAAAGUUUGUAGUUAAAUCUGGUCGCUCAACGAUCAAUUCGCAACAAAAACUCCUAAACUAGAGAUUGGCAGAGGCAACUGGAAUUCCACAUGUAGGGGUAAAAUCCGUUGAUAUGUGGAGGAACACCAAAAGCGAAGGCAGGUUGCUGGGCCAUUUCUGACGUUGAGGAACGAAAGCGUGGGGAGCAAACAGGAUUAGAUACCCUGGUAGUCCACGCCGUAAACGAUGGAUACUCGAUGUAGGGAGGGAUCGACCCCCCUCUCUGUGUCCCAAGCUAACGCGUUAAAGUAUCCCGCCUGGGGAGUACGGUCGCAAGAUUA